rnacentral:rRNA from 1 species
GUCUGCAGCCAUACACUACCCUGAACACAUCCAAGCUUGUCUGUUCCUGGAGGCCAAGCAGGGUUGGGCCCACUUAGUGCUUGCAUGGUAGUCAGUCCACCCUCAGUUCUGGGAAUAUAAACAGCAGCUUGAUU